CUCUCAACUUUACCUUCCAAGAAGCUGAGAUUCCAGGCAUGGUCCACUUUGCAUAGCCUUUCUCUAUCACUUCUAAGUCCCUAAGAGUAGUGGACAUUAUUAUUUAUAUGUUCUUCUGCCCUGUAUAUGACUUGUCCUGCCAUAAACAAUUGAAUUAAUUUUGACAGCCAUGUUGAUUUGAGAAUAAUCUCUCAACUCAAAUAUUCGCCUUAGAUAUUUUGUUUCAAGAGAUUUUCUCUUUAAAACACAUGGUGGUAUAAGGAAAAGAGAAGACAAAAUGGACAAGUCAGAAGUUACCCUGUCAAAAUGGUAUUAGAAGAGAUUGGCAUUUAAAUGGUAAGAGACAUAAGUGAACAUCUUAAACAAAGGAAGGCCCUAAAAUUGGAUGAACUCUUUCACCUUAACAUUGCGCUGCCCUCAUUAAAACUCAGCCACAAAAUCAGUGGUUAAAAAUGUGUCCCAAUUUCCACUUGGUGCUAGUGUUACUUGAAAAUGUAACCCAAACUGGGCUCUCCGGACACAGGAAAUAUGUGAUUUGUUCCUGAGAGAAUAUUUGUGAUGGUACAGCCACAAGAAGUUCUGAAGGCAAGCACAAAAUAUUCCCUGGGUCAUGAUUUAUAUACACUGAACAGACAAUAAACUCACCAUCCUCCCUCACUUGCUCAGAAAGUGCUCCCAGCUAGCUAUAACUCCAGUCGAGUAUUGUUUGAAGCAACAUUUCCCAAAGUUAUUGAGUGUCUUCUUAUUUACAAAAGAAGCAAUUCAUUUUGUAGGACAUUUCAAAUUGGCAAAUGGCCAGUGACAAUUUUGACCAAUGCUGGGUGCAAAAAAAAGGUACUGCAAAACACAAAGCCUUAGAAUAUUUAGGGAAUAUGGAAACAAAAAGGAAGAUUAUUCAUCCUUCCAUAUGGCUUUUUAAAGCCCUUUGCAAUUAUGUGCCGUUUAUGGUCGUUUCUAUAAAAUCUUCUCCAUUGAGAAGGCAGAAGACUUGCUUGAGUUUGUAAAAGCAUCACAAAAAGAAGAGAGAGAGAGAGAAAGAGAGAAGGGAUUCAGAAUGACAAUGGUGUUUAGCUGAUUGCUCUGUGAAUCUGCAGUGUGAUAAAGACACUGCUUACCAGUAAAAUGGAGAAUGUGAUCUCAUUUGCUUUCCCAGAAUGGAUUUGAAAGGCCUUAACUGAAAAUUAAAGUUGCUAGUGAGAGGGUCUGAAAAGUAAACAAGAGCUCUGGCACAAUUAUGCAUCUGAUUGAAACAGGUACCUUACACCAGGAAGCUCAGAAUCCCUGUCUUGUUUAUCUGAUGCAUGGGGCGGAAAUGACUUCUGAAGGAAAAAGGAAGUCUGUACUCUCUCUAGGGGCAUUUAGCUCACUUUAUGUAAUACACUGCCUAGACCACAUAACACGUCAUCAGUACUUCCCUUUGGCCACUUACAAUUAAACUGC